ACCUGCCCUUAACUCUGGGAUAAGCCUGGGAAACUGGGUCUAAUACCGGAUAUGACUCCUCAUCGCAUGGUGGGGGGUGGAAAGCUUUAUUGUGGUUUUGGAUGGACUCGCGGCCUAUCAGCUUGUUGGUGAGGUAAUGGCUCACCAAGGCGACGACGGGUAGCCGGCCUGAGAGGGUGACCGGCCACACUGGGACUGAGACACGGCCCAGACUCCUACGGGAGGCAGCAGUGGGGAAUAUUGCACAAUGGGCGAAAGCCUGAUGCAGCGACGCCGCGUGAGGGAUGACGGCCUUCGGGUUGUAAACCUCUUUCAGUAGGGAAGAAGCGAAAGUGACGGUACCUGCAGAAGAAGCGCCGGCUAACUACGUGCCAGCAGCCGCGGUAAUACGUAGGGCGCAAGCGUUAUCCGGAAUUAUUGGGCGUAAAGAGCUCGUAGGCGGUUUGUCGCGUCUGCCGUGAAAGUCCGGGGCUCAACUCCGGAUCUGCGGUGGGUACGGGCAGACUAGAGUGAUGUAGGGGAGACUGGAAUUCCUGGUGUAGCGGUGAAAUGCGCAGAUAUCAGGAGGAACACCGAUGGCGAAGGCAGGUCUCUGGGCAUUAACUGACGCUGAGGAGCGAAAGCAUGGGGAGCGAACAGGAUUAGAUACCCUGGUAGUCCAUGCCGUAAACGUUGGGCACUAGGUGUGGGGGACAUUCCACGUUUUCCGCGCCGUAGCUAACGCAUUAAGUGCCCCGCCUGGGGAGUACGGCCGCAAGGCUAAAACUCAAAGGAAUUGACGGGGGCCCGCACAAGCGGCGGAGCAUGCGGAUUAAUUCGAUGCAACGCGAAGAACCUUACCAAGGCUUGACAUGAACCGGAAACACCUGGAAACAGGUGCCCCGCUUGCGGUCGGUUUACAGGUGGUGCAUGGUUGUCGUCAGCUCGUGUCGUGAGAUGUUGGGUUAAGUCCCGCAACGAGCGCAACCCUCGUUCUAUGUUGCCAGCGCGUUAUGGCGGGGACUCAUAGGAGACUGCCGGGGUCAACUCGGAGGAAGGUGGGGACGACGUCAAAUCAUCAUGCCCCUUAUGUCUUGGGCUUCACGCAUGCUACAAUGGCCGGUACAAAGGGUUGCGAUACUGUGAGGUGGAGCUAAUCCCAAAAAGCCGGUCUCAGUUCGGAUUGGGGUCUGCAACUCGACCCCAUGAAGUCGGAGUCACUAGU
rnacentral:rRNA from 1 species